GUGAAUUUGAAGAACAAGGUAGGAAGAUUUUUCUCUCCUAUUUGACCAUCCAUAUAAUUUCUCUUGGAUAUUAGAUGAAGUGUUAAAAGGUUGCUUUAAGACAAUUCUACUUGUGCUAAUAGAAUAAAAUAUGUGGUCCAUUUUAUGGUUGUAAAUUUGUUAAAUUUUAAUAAUGCAAAGUAGAAUUUCUUCUCUCUCUAUCCUUUUUUUCCCUGCUUCGUUAAAUUUUCAUGAUAUCAGGAUAUUGAUGGCUCCAGAGUUG
rnacentral:misc_RNA from 1 species